GACGAACGCUGGCGGCGUGCUUAACACAUGCAAGUCGAACGGAAAGGCCCUGCUUUUGUGGGGUGCUCGAGUGGCGAACGGGUGAGUAACACGUGAGUAACCUGCCCUUGACUUUGGGAUAACUUCAGGAAACUGGGGCUAAUACCGGAUAGGAGCUCCUGCUGCAUGGUGGGGGUUGGAAAGUUUCGGCGGUUGGGGAUGGACUCGCGGCUUAUCAGCUUGUUGGUGGGGUAGUGGCUUACCAAGGCUUUGACGGGUAGCCGGCCUGAGAGGGUGACCGGCCACAUUGGGACUGAGAUACGGCCCAGACUGCUACGGGAGGCAGCAGUGGGGAAUAUUGCACAAGGGGCGGAAGCCUGAUGCAGCAACGCCGCGUGCGGGAUGACGGCCUUCGGGUUGUAAACCGCUUUCGCCUGUGACGAAGCGUGAGUGACGGUAAUGGGUAAAGAAGCACCGGCUAACUACGUG
rnacentral:rRNA from 1 species